GCGGGUGUAGUUUAAUGGUAAAACCUCAGCCUUCCAAGCUGAUGACGGGGGUUCGAUUCCCCUCACCCGCUCCA
rnacentral:tRNA from 1 species